GUUUACAACUCCCAAACCCCUGUGAACAUACCUUAAUGUUGCCUCGGCGGAUCAGCCCGCGCCCCGUAAAACGGGACGGCCCGCCAGAGGACCCAAACUCUAAUGUUUCUUAUUGUAACUUCUGAGUAAAACAAACAAAUAAAUCAAAACUUUCAACAACGGAUCUCUUGGUUCUGGCAUCGAUGAAGAACGCAGCAAAAUGCGAUAAGUAAUGUGAAUUGCAGAAUUCAGUGAAUCAUCGAAUCUUUGAACGCACAUUGCGCCCGCUGGUAUUCCGGCGGGCAUGCCUGUUCGAGCGUCAUUUCAACCCUCAAGCCCCCGGGUUUGGUGUUGGGGAUCGGCUCUGCCCUUCUGGGCGGUGCCGCCCCCGAAAUACAUUGGCGGUCUCGCUGCAGCCUCCAUUGCGUAGUAGCUAACACCUCGCAACUGGAACGCGGCGCGGCCAUGCCGUAAAACCCCAACUUCUGAAUGUUGACCUCGGAUCAGGUAGGAAUACCCGCUGAACUUAAGCAUAUCA
rnacentral:rRNA from 1 species